rnacentral:rRNA from 1 species
UACGGGGGGGGCAAGCGUUGUUCGGAAUUACUGGGCGUAAAGCGCACGUAGGCGGGUGGUUAAGUCAGGGGUGAAAUCCCGGAGCUCAACUCCGGAACUGCCUUUGAUACUGGCCAUCUAGAGAUCGGAAGAGGUGAGUGGAAUUCCCAGUGUAGAGGUGAAAUUCGUAGAUAUUGGGAAGAACACCAGUGGCGAAGGCGGCUCACUGGUCCGAUACUGACGCUGAGGUGCGAAAGCGUGGGGAGCAAACAGG